rnacentral:rRNA from 1 species
GAUGAACGCUGGCGGCGUGCCUAAUACAUGCAAGUCGAGCGAACAGAUGAGGAGCUUGCUCCUACGACGUUAGCGGCGGACGGGAGAGGAACACGUGGACAAACUAACUAAAAGACAGGGAAAACAUCGGGAGACCGGAGCUAAUACCGGAAAAUAUAUUGCACUGCAAGGUGCAAUAGUGAGAGACGGUUUUGCUGUCACUUAUAGAUGGAUCCGCGCCGCAUUAGCUAGUUGGUAAGGUGACGGCUUACCAACGCAACGAUGGUUAGCCGACCUGAGAGGGUGGUCCGCCAGCCUGGAAGAGAGACACAGCCCAGACACCUACAGGAAGCAGCAGUAGGGAAUCUUCCGCAAAGGGCGAGAGCCGAAUGGAGCGAAGUCGGCGAAAUGAUGACGGUCUUAGGAUCGUAGAACUAUGAUAUUAGUAAGAAAGUAAUGUGUUAGUAACUAUGCACAUCUUGACGGUACCUAAUCAAAAAGCCACGGCUAACUACGUG